rnacentral:rRNA from 1 species
UACAGAGGGGGCAAGCGUUGUUCGGAAUUACUGGGCGUAAAGGGCGCGUAGGCGGCCCGCUAAGUCGAACGUGAAAUCCCCGAGCUCAACUCGGGAACUGCGUCCGAUACUGGUGGGCUUGAAUCCGGGAGAGGGAUGCGGAAUUCCAGGUGUAGCGGUGAAAUGCGUAGAUAUCUGGAGGAACACCGGUGGCGAAGGCGGCAUCCUGGACCGGCAUUGACGCUGAGGCGCGAAAGCUAGGGAGCAAACGGG